AAAAAAAGUGUGGGAUUUCAAGGAAUUAAGCUAAUAAAGGUGGUGAAUCCUCCGAUAAAGGCAAGGAAAUUGUAUCUGAGGAUCGGUAGUCAGAGUACUCUAGAAAUUCGACUCCCGAAAUAGUUCAGAUUAGGUUGUAGAUAGCUGAGUUCAUCGAGGACUACCCUUGGAUUUGCAUUCCUUCAAAUUGUAAGUUCACAGUCCUCUUUACUUUUGC
rnacentral:sRNA from 1 species